rnacentral:rRNA from 1 species
UACGUAGGGGGCAAGCGUUGUCCGGAAUCAUUGGGCGUAAAGCGCGUGUAGGCGGUCCGGUAAGUCGGCUGUGAAAGUCCAGGGCUCAACCCUGGGAUGCCGGUCGAUACUGCCGGACUAGAGUUCGGAAGAGGCGAGUGGAAUUCCCGGUGUAGCGGUGAAAUGCGCAGAUAUCGGGAGGAACACCUAUGGCGAAGGCAGCUCGCUGGGACGUUACUGACGCUGGAGACGCGAAAAGCGUGGGGAGCGAACAGG